CCUACGGGUGGCAGCAGUGAGGAAUAUUGGUCAAUGGGCGAGAGCCUGAACCAGCCAAGUAGCGUGAAGGAUGACUGCCCUACGGGUUGUAAACUUCUUUUAUAAAGGAAUAAAGUGAGGCACGUGUGCCUUUUUGCAUGUACUUUAUGAAUAAGGAUCGGCUAACUCCGUGCCAGCAGCCGCGGUAAUCCGGAGGAUCCGAGCGUUAUCCGGAUUUAUUGGGUUUAAAGGGUGCGUAGAUGGGUUGUUAAGUCAGUUGUGAAAGUGUGCGGCUCAACAGUAAAAUUGAAAUUGAUACUGGCAGCCUUGAGUACAGUUGAGGUAGGCGGAAUUCGUGGUGUAGCGGUGAAAUGCUUAGAUCUCACGAAGAACUCCGAUUGCGAAGGCAGCUUACUAAACUGUCACUGACAUUGAUGCUCGAAAGUGUGGGUAUCAAACAGGAUUAGAUACCCCAGUAGUC
rnacentral:rRNA from 1 species